AUGAACUGGGUCGGAGGUUCGAGGAACAGACUAGUGAUGAGAAGUGAUGCUAAAAAGCAGCGGGAGUUUUUUGAAAAGAGGAAAUUGCAGCAGAGGCUGAGGAAAAUCGGGGUAGCUCUGCCACCAUCGUCAUCCAAAGACAUUAGCUCUGGGAGUAUGGACCUAAUGAGUUUGUUUAUAGUCGGUCAGAUUGCUACCAAGAAGGGAAAUCAAGAUCCUCCAAAAGUUGCUGUUCUUGGCAGUUUUGAUGGAAGCUCCAAGCAUCGGAGGACUGAGUCCAUAGUGCUCCCAAUGAGUCCCUGCUCUCCAUCGCAGCUGAACCUUGUCGAGAGCUCGUCUCAGUUUGGUUUUCCAGAAACGAGAAAAAGACAGAACAUAAAUCCACAAAAAUUCAAGUGUAGAAAGUUAUCACCAGUGUUGGAGUCAACGUUCUCAGACAACAGUGCAUCUGAUUACCUGCCUCUCAUAACUGGCCCGCUCAGCCCCACCUCAUCAGUCUCGAUGAGUCAAGGAAUAUUCCCGUCCCAGAUGAAAAUACAGAAGCAAAACCAGAGUCAGUUGCAGCUUUUUCCUCACUAUUCUCCUUCAUCCCAGAACACCCCAGUGCUGCAGCAGACCCAGUUUCAGCCUUUCUCCCAGCAGAUCAGUUUGACAGAUCCUGUUCCCUGGUCCAGCACUUCAAACCCACCCUUCUUUCACGUGGAGACCCCUACUGCAGUCCCUACCCUCUUUGGAAGCCAAAAUCUUGAAAAAACUGAAGGAAGUAAUAUUGAUAGAUCCGCAGCUACCUUCUUUUUUAAUCAACAAGAAAACACAGAGCUGGAUUUCUCACUUGACCGGUCACAAACUGGAAAUCUGCUUGAAGACGACGUCUUUGGUGGGUUUGGUGAUGACGAGUAUGAAACUGAAGCUUUUAACUUCGGGAAUCCAAAAUCCAAAAUAUCCCUCAGAGAUGAAACAUUCGUGCGAUCUGCAACACCACAAACCGUGACUAAUGUUCUCAGUGGAGUGGAGCUCUCCAACUGCGCUGACCUUAACUCCUCAUGUCCCGACCAGAACACUGAGCUCCUGAGUAGCUGUGAAAAUUUGCCAAGUUGCUCUUGCAAAGAAGGUUACCUCAGUUCAGACUCCAGUGAUGACAAAUCCUGCUGCGAGGAGUGUCUUCAAGACUCUGCUUUUAACACAGAUGAACCCUGUUGUGAUGACUCAAACUCACAGAGGACUCCAAAAUCCUCCAAAUCUCUCACCUCUUUUGCCAGACUCGACAUGAACUCAGGCAAAGACCAGAAAACUGAAGGGAAGGUAAUCAGCCCAAAUAAAACAUCUGGAGUCCAAGGCCAGCAGAUGGCCCCGUCUUCAUCUUCUCACAUUCUGGAACCAACUCAGAUCUCAGAGUUGUGCAAAUUGAGGCCAGAGCUUCAUGCAGCUUGUAUGAUAUGUCAGAGAAGCAACCAGCACCUCAACAGCAGACAGCUUCACUACAAACCACAAGACGAGGAAGUUGGCCACCAUGGAAUGAGUUCAGCGUUAAUAACAGACCUAAAGUUAUCCUACAGAGACCCACACACCCUUUACAGGUCAUCUUCAGCCCAAGAGGCUCAGAGAAUCGAGAUGAGACAGAGGACGAUGAGAACAGCCGUCAGAUCAAAGAGGCAUCAGAUGGGAGAGAGGAGGUCACAUCUGCUGGCAGAGUCCAGUGACCCUCAGGAGGCUGAGACGCUUUCAGGACAACAGCAAUGUUUAGCUCCUGCUGAGGCAGAGGGGGGUAGAUAG
rnacentral:lncRNA from 1 species